GACGAACGCUGGCGGCGUGCUUAACACAUGCAAGUCGAACGGAAAGGCCCUGCUUUUGUGGGGUGCUCGAGUGGCGAACGGGUGAGUAACACGUGAGUAACCUGCACUUGAAUUUGGGAUAAAUUCAGGAAACAGGGGCUAAUAUCGGAUAGGAGCUCCUGCUGCAUGGUGGGGGUUGGAAAAUUUCGGCGGUUGGGGAUGGACUCGCAGCUUAUCCGCUUGUUGGGGGGGUAGUGGCUUACCAAGCCUUUGACGGGUAGCCCGCCUGAGAGGUUGACCGGCCACAAGGGGACUGAGAGACGGCGCAGACUCCUACGGGAGGCAGCAGUGGGGAAUAUUGCACAAUGGGCGGAAGCCUGAUGCAGCAACGCCGCGUGCGGGAUGACGGCCUUCGGGUUGUAAACCGCUUUCGCCUGUGACGAAGCGUGAGUGACGGUAAUGGGUAAAGAAGCACCGGCUAACUACGUG
rnacentral:rRNA from 1 species